GACGAACGCUGGCGGCGUGCUUAACACAUGCAAGUCGAACGGAAAGGCCCUGCUUGCAGGGUACUCGAGUGGCGAACGGGUGAGUAACACGUGGGUGAUCUGCCCUGCACUUCGGGAUAAGCCUGGGAAACUGGGUCUAAUACCGGAUAGGAGCCAUUUUUAGUGUGAUGGUUGGAAAGUUUUUUCGGUGUAGGAUGAGCUCGCGGCCUAUCAGCUUGUUGGUGGGGUAAUGGCCUACCAAGGCGGCGACGGGUAGCCGGCCUGAGAGGGUGGACGGCCACAUUGGGUCUGAGAUACGGCCCAGACACCUACGGGAGGCAGAAGUGGGGAAUAUUGAACAAGGGGCGCAAGCCGGAUGCAGCGACGCCGCGUGGGGGAUGACGGUCUUCGGGUUGAAAACUCAUUUCGCUAGGGACGAAGCUUUUUGUGACGGUACCUAGAUAAGAAGCACCGGCUAACUACGUG
rnacentral:rRNA from 1 species